CCUACGGGCGGCAGCAGUAGGGAAUAUUGCUCAAUGGGGAAAACCCUGACGCAGCAACGCCGCGUGGAGGAUGAAGGUUUUCGGAUUGUAAACUCCUUUUGUUAGAGAAGAUAAUGACGGUAUCUAACGAAUAAGCACCGGCUAACUCCGUGCCAGCAGCCGCGGUAAUACGGAGGGUGCAAGCGUUACUCGGAAUCACUGGGCGUAAAGAGAUCGUAGGCGGUAUAGCAAGUCAGAUGUUAAAUGCUAUGGCUCAACCAUAGAACUGCAUUUGAUACUUUUAUGCUAGAGUACGGGAGAGGUAGGUGGAAUUCUGGGUGUAGUGGUAAAAUGCGUAGAGAUCAAGAGGAAUACUCAUUGCGAAGGCGACCUGCUGGAACAUAAUUGACGCUGAGGCGCGAAAGCGUGGGGAGCAAACAGGAUUAGAUACCCGGGUAGUC
rnacentral:rRNA from 1 species